UACGGAGGGGGCUAGCGUUGUUCGGAAUUACUGGGCGUAAAGCGCGCGUAGGCGGCUUUGUAAGUUAGAGGUGAAAGCCCGGAGCUCAACUCCGGAACUGCCUUUAAGACUGCAUCGCUAGAACGAUGGAGAGGUAAGUGGAAUUCCGAGUGUAGAGGUGAAAUUCGUAGAUAUUCGGAGGAACACCAGUGGCGAAGGCGGCUCACUGGUCCGGUACUGACGCUGAGGUGCGAAAGCGUGGGGAGCAAACAGGG
rnacentral:rRNA from 1 species